UUGAGCUCGAUUAUUUGGGCUCAAUUUCGAACUCUAGCUAGACUAGUUUUCAACGAGUCGAGCUCAAACAUUUCAAACUGUGUUGGGCUCGUUUCCAGCUCGGUCUAAUCCUACGCUUUUCAAUCAGUUACCCGGGGAAUUUUCGGCGGCAAACAUUCAUACAGAUAAAUCGAAACCAAGAUAGGGAUCUGAAGUUAAGUUUCAGAAUUAUCCUCUUAACUUUUCUGCAUUAUCGAUUGGAUCAAUCCAUCAUUUCCCUCUUCGUUCUAUCAUCUCAUCGUUUGAUUUCUAGGGGUUUUUCUUCAGGAUCUCUCGUCCAUUACCGCCCCACUCUGUUUUUCCAUCGAUUGCACUACUUCAGAGCGGAAAACAAAAGACCAACGGCCACGGCCAGUAUUGUGAUUUGCAGGAUCAACGGUUCACCCCUUUAAGAUAUUUGACUUGAUCAUCAACUAAUGCUACUGGAAUUGAAAAACAAUUCUUUCCUGACUGCCUAGCCAGGUAUGUGCCCGCACACGCACGGCACGUCGACGGACUUGACCACCUUGCAACAUUCCCCCGACGGCUCCGCCUUCGGACCCGAUUUCUGGACGUACACCGCGCAUUGCGACAUCAAGCCGUUCAGGUCGCCCUUGCACUGGCCCGAGACCAUGUUGUUGCCGGAACUUAUUACUCCAGCCACCACGACAAACGCCAAC